AACGUAGGGGGCUAGCGUUGCUCGGAAUUACUGGGCGUAAAGGGUCCGUAGGCGGUGUGACAAGUCGGUAGUGAAAUCUCCGGGCUUAACCCGGAGGCUGCUGCCGAAACUGUUGUGCUAGAGUGUGAGAGAGGCGAGUGGAAUUACGGGUGUAGCGGUGAAAUGCGUAGAUAUCCGUAGGAACAUCCGAGGCGAAAGCGGCUCGCUGGAUCACAACUGACGCUGAGGGACGAAAGCUAGGGGAGCAAACAGG
rnacentral:rRNA from 1 species